rnacentral:sRNA from 1 species
UACCAACAUAUGGGGUGCUGUCUGUAGU